GCCGGGGUCGCCUAGUCUGGUGGGGCGCAAGCCUGGAAAGCUUGUGACCUUUCGGGGUCCCGUGGGUUCAAAUCCCACCCCCGGCG
rnacentral:tRNA from 1 species